rnacentral:rRNA from 1 species
UACGGGGGAUGCAAGCGUUAUCCGGAAUCAUUGGGCGUAAAGCGUCUGUAGGUUGUUUAAUAAGUCUGUUGUUAAAGCCUAGGGCUUAACCCUAGAAAAGCAAUGGAAACUACUAGACUAGAGUAUGGCAGGGGUAGAGGGAAUUUCUAGUGUAGCGGUGAAAUGCGUAGAUAUUAGAAAGAACACCAGUGGCGAAAGCGCUCUACUGGACCAUUACUGACACUCAGAGGCGAAAGCUAGGGUAGCAAAAGGGAUUAGAUACCCCUGUAGUCCUAGCCGUAAACGAUGGAUACUAGAUGUUGUACUUUAUGUGCAGUAUCGUAGCUAACGCGUUAAGUAUCCCGCCUGGGGAGUACGCUCGCAAGGGUG